rnacentral:rRNA from 1 species
GGUUAACGCUGGCGGCGCGCCUGAUACAUGCAAGUCGAGCGAGGGCCCCUCUCCCGCAAGGGGAGGCGGGUUCCUAGCGGCGAACGGGUGAGUAACACGUGAGCAACCUGUCCCGAAGUGGGGGAUAACAUCGAGAAAUCGGUGCUAAUACCGCAUGAGUUCACCGAGGACAUCCCCGGUGAGGAAAGCAGCAAUGCGCUUUGGGGUGGGCUCGCGACCUAUCAGCUAGCGGUGGGGUAAUGGCCUACCGAGGCUUUGACGGGUAGCUGGUCUGAGAGGACGACCAGCCACACGGGGACUGAGACACGGCCCCGACUCCUACGGGAGGCAGCAGUAAGGAAUCUUCCGCAAUGGGCGAAAGCCUGACGGAGCGACGCCGCGUGUGGGAUGAAGUCCC